UACGGGGGGGCAAGCGUUGUUCGGAAUUACUGGGCGUAAAGGGCUCGUAGGCGGCCAACUAAGUCAGACGUGAAAUCCCUCAGCUUAACUGGGGAACUGCGUCCGAUACUGGAUGGCUUGAGUUUGGGAGAGGGAUGCGGAAUUCCAGGUGUAGCGGUGAAAUGCGUAGAUAUCUGGAGGAACACCGGUGGCGAAGGCGGCAUCCUGGACCAACACUGACACUGAGGAGCGAAAGCCAGGGGAGCAAACGGG
rnacentral:rRNA from 1 species